GCACAAGCGGUGGAGUAUGUGGUUAAUUCGAUGCAACGCGAAGAACCUUACCUGGUCUUGACAUCCCGGAGACCCUUAGGAAACUAGGGGGUGCUUCCAUCUGGAAGAAUCUGGAGACAGGUGCUGCAUGGCUGUCGUCAGCUCGUGUCGUGAGAUGUUGGGUUAAGUCCCGCAACGAGCGCAACCCUUGCCUUUAGUUGCCAGCAGUUCGGCUGGGGCACUCUAAAGGGACUGCCGGUGUUAAACCGGAGGAAGGUGGGGAUGACGUCAAGUCCUCAUGGCCUUUAUGACCAGGGCUACACACGUACUACAAUGGCCGAUACAAAGGGCAGCGACACUGCGAGGUGAAGCCAAUCCCGUAAAAUCGGUCUCAGUCCGGAUUGGAGUCUGCAACUCGACUCCAUGAAGUUGGAAUCGCUAGUAAUCGUGGAUCAGCAUGCCACGGUGAAUACGUUCCCGGGCCUU
rnacentral:rRNA from 1 species